GAGUUUGAUCAUGGCUCAGAUUGAACGCUGGCGGCAUGCCUUACGCAUGCAAGUCGAACGGCAGCACGGGAGCUUGCUCCUGGUGGCGAGUGGCGAACGGGUGAGUAAUGCAUCGGAACGUAUCCUGGAGUGGGGGGAUAACGUAGCGAAAGUUACGCUAAUACCGCAUAUUCUGUGAGCAGGAAAGCGGGGGACCUUCGGGCCUCGCGCUCUUGGAGCGGCCGAUGUCGGAUUAGCUAGUUGGUGAGGUAAAGGCUCACCAAGGCGACGAUCCGUAGCAGGUCUGAGAGGAUGAUCUGCCACACUGGAACUGAGACACGGUCCAGACUCCUACGGGAGGCAGCAGUGGGGAAUUUUGGACAAUGGGGGCAACCCGUGAUCCAGCCAUGCCGCGUGAGUGAAG
rnacentral:rRNA from 1 species